GCCUGCUCCUCUGGGUAGCUCAGAUGCUAGAGCAUGAGACUAUUAAUGUCAGGGUUGUGGAUUUGAACCCCACAUUGGGCA